rnacentral:rRNA from 1 species
AUUGAACGCUGGCGGCAUGCCUAACACAUGCAAGUCGAACGGUAACAGGCCCUUCGGGCGCUGACGAGUGGCGGACGGGUGAGUAAUACUUAGGAAUCUACCCUGUAGUGGGGGACGAACCCGAGGAAACUACGGGCGUAAUACCGCAUACGCUCCACGGAGGAAAGCGGGGGACCGGCAAGGCCUCGCGCUAUUGGAUGAGCCUAAGCCCGAUUAGCUAGUUGGUGGGGUAAUGGCCUACCAAGGCAAUGAUCGGUAGCUGGUCUGAGAGGACGACCAGCCACACUGGGACUGAGACACGGCCCAGACUCCUACGGGA